GAUGAACGCUGGCGGUAUGCCUAAUACAUGCAAGUCGAACGGCCACACAAUAAGAUCUUGCUCUUGCGGGUGGCGACUGACGGACGGGUGAGAAAUGCAUCAGCUACUUCUUUGUCUUGGGUGAUUUCGGGAGACCACAUCCACUACUACCUAAUACAAUCUACCGGUGGAUGCAAUGGUGCUUCGCACUUUUCCCGUUUCAUAUAGCCGGUGUCGCGUUAGCUAGUUGGGGUGGUAAAGGCCCACCAAGACGACGAUGCGUAGCGGGUCUGAGAGGAUGAUCGGCCACACUGGAACUGAGACACGGUCCAGACUCCUACGGGAGGCAGCAGUGGGGAAUAUUGCACAAUGGGCGAAAGCCUGAUCCAGCCAUACCGCGUGGGUGAAGAAGGCCUUCGGGUUGUAAAGCUCUUUUGUUGGGGAAGAAAAGCAGCAGGAUAAUAUACCGACGUUUUGACGGUACCUAAAGAGUAAGCAACGGCUAACUUCGUG
rnacentral:rRNA from 1 species